AUGCUGCUUUUCCUCCUGGCCCUGCUGCAGAGCUCGGGCUUGCUGAGUAAGAGGCACAUCACAGGCAGCAUGGUCAGAAGCAGGGACAGAUGAAGGUCACAGAACCCAGGGUGUGGCUGGAGCAUGCCUGACAGACACACCAGGCAGCUGACUCAUAACCUCGGAGGAAAACGCUCCAUGUUUUGGAUGGAGAUUCCCAGUAUCUACGAAGAUAGUAUCCUAGGACAUAUACAGAUCCCUCGGCUCUAUUUAUGAUGGGUUAUAUUUUUGCCUCUGUGCUACAUAUUUGUACUUUCACUUGAAAAAUAUAUUUGGUGCCUGGUGGCAGCCAUCACAAGGCACUGACUUUAAUGACUUGUGAGAGAUGGAGAUAGUCCCCACGGGACCAUAACAAGUGUGUCGUGAAACUUACCCAGGAGUUUGGGAAGUGGUUGGACCUAAAACCCCACUCACUUUCAGAAUUCAGCCCGGUGCUGGUACUUUCCAGCAUCGUCAUAUAACUUCCGGUGAGCCCAGCUCAACCUACUGGACUGGAGUGCCAGGGAGCCCAUGACCAUAGGUGCCCUGCAUACCCUUCAACUCCUGCCUGAGCAAGUCCGUGAUCUGAAGAUGUUUACAACUGGUUCACAGAGAGAGACGAAAGAGAAGGCUCCAGGGUCUCAGUCUGCUCCGUUCUCUUCUCAGUAGCGGCCACUACUUACAUCAUCCCUGGGGACUCUGUCCCUCCCACGCCUGGCUGGGGAGUGGAGCGAGUCUUCCUGACCUGCUUUCUCCUGCCAUUCCAGAUGACAAGUCCAUAGGGACAUUUUGCUUAAGUUAAUGCUAACUACCAGGGAACAUCAUAACCGUAUUGGCCGUUGAUUAACAAACUUUGCCUCUGGGAUCAUAAAUAAAAGCAUCAUGUUCUUUGUUUUCUUGACUGCAGGGAUCUGUAAAUCCCAGUUUUUUCUGAGCCAGCCUUAGCGCAGAGAUCUUUAGUGAAGGGGACUUUCUUUCUACCAAUGAAUGAAUGACUUCAGUCUCUUCUGUAUUAGUUUUUUAUUGCUGCGUAACAAUUUACCGCAAAUUUAGUGGCUUAAAACAACACAAAUGUUAAUUACCUCACA